rnacentral:lncRNA from 1 species
UGUGGUGACUAUGUCUGGGUUAAGACCUGCUGACUUCGUGUGGAGAUUUCAUCUGAGCUAAAGGUCUCGCUGAUAAUCCGAGUAGAGUUUAAAGCUAUAAGACUUCGCAAUAAGAAUUGCUUAUAAAUAUAUUCAAUGCGAAAGGUUAAACAGGUAUGUACUCCAAGUUUAUAUGUGAGCUUGAUUUAAACUAAAUCAUAAGGCAGUUAUGUGAUGCAUACGUGAGCAAUCUAUGAGACUAUUCUUAUGAUUAUGUGACAUCGGAUCAGUGUGAGAGCUUAUGUGAAAUUAUACAUUAUAUCUAUGUCACAUGAGCUCACAUUUAUGUGAAAGUUUAUCUGCCUAUUGUAUAUGAUGAGAUGUACAUAUUCGGUAAAGGGAUAGUAUGCCCGAAGGAAGAGUGAAAUAAAAAUACGAACAACUAUGUUAUAAUUUGAUUAUUAUUUGUUGACACUGCUUAAAACUUACUAAGCAUUGUAAUGCUUACUCCGUUUACUUUGUUUCCUCUAUUUUAUAGAUCUCAUUUGGAAGCUACAGGCUCGGGGAUCAUCAGCAACUAGUCACACUAUCA